rnacentral:ncRNA from 1 species
CUUAUCCAGAGUGGCGGAGGGACAGGCCCGAUGAUGCCCGGCAACCGGCAGGCGACAUGCCCGCAAGGUGCCAAUUCCUGCGGCCGCGCGUUUUGGCCGAAAGAUGAGG